rnacentral:rRNA from 1 species
CUCAGGAUGAACGCUAGCUACAGGCUUAACACAUGCAAGUCGAGGGGCAGCAUUGGAGUAGCAAUACUCAGAUGGCGACCGGCGCACGGGUGAGUAACACGUAUCCAACCUGCCGCUUACUCGGGGAUAGCCUUUCGAAAGAAAGAUUAAUACCCGAUGGUAUAAAGAGUUCGCAUGUUCUCUUUAUUAAAGAAUUUCGGUAAGCGAUGGGGAUGCGUUCCAUUAGAUUGUUGGCGGGGUAACGGCCCACCAAGUCUACGAUGGAUAGGGGUUCUGAGAGGAAGGUCCCCCACAUUGGAACUGAGACACGGUCCAAACUCCUACGGGAGGCAGCAGUGAGGAAUAUUGGUCAAUGGACGAGAGUCUGAACCAGCCAAGUAGCGUUAGGAAGGAUGACUGCCCUAUGGGUUGUAAACUUCUUUUAGUAAGGGAAUAAAGUGAGGGACGUGUCCCUUUUUGUAUGUACCUUAUGAAUAAGGAUCGGCUAACUCCGUGCCAGCAGCUGC